rnacentral:rRNA from 1 species
AUUGAACGCUGGCGGCAGGCCUAACACAUGCAAGUCGAACGAGUGGCGGACGGGUGAGUAAUGUCUGGGAAACUGCCUGAUGGAGGGGGAUAACUACUGGAAACGGUAGCUAAUACCGCAUACCAUCGGAUGUGCCCAGAUGGGAUUAGCUAGUAGGUGGGGUAAAGGCUCACCUAGGCGACGAUCCCUAGCUGGUCUGAGAGGAUGACCAACCACACUAGAACUGAGACACGGUCCAGACUCCUCCGGGGGGCAACAGUGGGAUAUAUUGCAGAAUGGGCGCACGCCUGGUGCCGCCGUGCCGCGUGUAUGAAGGAGGCCAUCGUGGUGUAAAAUACUUUCAGCGGAGAGGCGUUACCGCAGAGGAGGCACCGGCUAACUCCGUGCCGGCCGCCGGGGUAAUA